GACGAACGCUGGCGGCGUGCCUAAUACAUGCAAGUAGGACGCUGAAGGAGGAGCUUGCUCUUCUGGAUGAGUUGCGAACGGGUGAGUAACGCGUAGGUAACCUGCCUGGUAGCGGGGGAUAACUAUUGGAAACGAUAGCUAAUACCGCAUAACAGUAGAUGUUGCAUGACAUUUACUUAAAAGGUGCAAUUGCAUCACUACCAGAUGGACCUGCGUUGUAUUAGCUAGUUGGUGGGGUAACGGCUCACCAAGGCGACGAUACAUAGCCGACCUGAGAGGGUGAUCGGCCACACUGGGACUGAGACACGGCCCAGACUCCUACGGGAGGCAGCAGUAGGGAAUCUUCGGCAAUGGACGGAAGUCUGACCGAGCAACGCCGCGUGAGUGAAGAAGGUUUUCGGAUCGUAAAGCUCUGUUGUAAGAGAAGAACGAGUGUGAGAGUGGAAAGUUCACACUGUGACGGUAGCUUACCAGAAAGGGACGGCUAACUACGUG
rnacentral:rRNA from 1 species